UAAUACGGAGGAUCCAAGCGUUAUCCGGAAUCAUUGGGUUUAAAGGGUCCGUAGGCGGGUUUGUAAGUCAGUGGUGAAAGUUUGCGGCUCAACCGUAAAAUUGCCAUUGAUACUGCAAGUCUUGAAUUAUUGUGAAGUGGUUAGAAUGUGUAGUGUAGCGGUGAUAUGCAUAGAUAUUACACAGAAUACCGAUUGCGAAGGCAGAUCACUAACAAUAUAUUGACGCUAAGGGACGAAAGCGUGGGUAGCGAACAGGAUUAGAUACCCUGGUAGUCCACGCCGUAAACGAUGGUUACUAGCUGUUUGAACUUCGGUUUAAGUGGCUAAGCGAAAGUGAUAAGUAACCCACCUGGGGAGUACGUUCGCAAGAAUG
rnacentral:rRNA from 1 species